AGAUGGGAAGGACGGCAGCGUCAGCUCCCUACUGACCUACGAUUGGCAGGGGGACUCACAUCAUUCCCAGAAGACCCUGCUUCUCAACACCAGUUGGUCUCAUCUGAAGACACUCCACCCUGUAGCUCCUCCCUUCC
rnacentral:lncRNA from 14 species